rnacentral:rRNA from 1 species
GAUGAACGCUGACAGAAUGCUUAACACAUGCAAGUCAACUUGAACUUCGGUUUGGGUGGCGGACGGGUGAGUAACGCGUAAAGAACUUGCCUCACAGCUAGGGACAACAUUUGGAAACGAAUGCUAAUACCUGAUAUUAUGAUUUUAGGGCAUCCUAGAAUUAUGAAAGCUAUAUGCGCUGUGAGAGAGCUUUGCGUCCCAUUAGCUAGUUGGAGAGGUAACGGCUCACCAAGGCGAUGAUGGGUAGCCGGCCUGAGAGGGUGAACGGCCACAAGGGGACUGAGACACGGCCCUUCCUCCUACGGGAGGAAGAAGGGGGGAAUAUUGGACAAUGGACCAAGAGUCUGAUCCAGCAAUUCUGUGUGCACGAUGAAGUUUUUCGGAAUGUAAAGUGCUUUCAGUUGGGAAGAAAAAAAUGACGGUACCAACAGAAGAAGUGACGGCUAAAUACGUG